rnacentral:rRNA from 1 species
UACGUAGGGUGCAAGCGUUAAUCGGAAUUACUGGGCGUAAAGCGUGCGCAGGCGGUUAUGUAAGUCAGGUGUGAAAUCCCCGGGCUCAACCUGGGAACUGCAUCUGUGACUGCAUAGCUAGAGUACGGUAGAGGGGGAUGGAAUUCCGCGUGUAGCAGUGAAAUGCGUAGAUAUGCGGAGGAACACCGAUGGCGAAGGCAAUCCCCUGGACCUGUACUGACGCUCAUGCACGAAAGCGUGGGGAGCAAACAGG